UAGCGCUCGUCGGCCACCCAACCCCGGCUGCCACCGCACAUAUCCUCUCCGGCUACACCACCUUGCCCGCUAUUUCCUCCAGCCAGAUCUGUGAGGCACCCUGAGAUUGCUUGCGGCCUUUCUCCUCAUACCCCCGGAGUCCCAUCCACUGCUCCAUCGCCCAUCCCAGGUCGGUUUCUACAGUAAGGGCUAUGGGGCUGGGCAGGUUAGGCGGAUGGAUAGUGGGAGCUUCACGACCUAAAGGAGCGGGCGGUGUGGGAGCUGCAAGAGGCCGCCAAGGCCCUCACCGUGUGCCGCGCUGCCGUCAGGAUGUACACGCUGUGGUGGCACUGGACAGGCACGUCAGCCACCCUUCCUCAAGCCCACUAUGGUCUGUAUCCCCUCCCCACCCCACCUACUCGGUUCUCUUGUUUCCCAAUCUCUCAGUCUGGUUAUAUUGUUUUCUCCAAGCUAAUUUCAGAAAAGUAGAUCUUACUUGUGAGCAAAAUCAUGAGGCCUGUACUUAUUUGGUCGGACAAGCUAUAUGGAUUUGCGGUGAGCUCAUUGAAUUUCUAGAUGUUCCCGAAGGAGUUAAUCUGCAUACACCUUUUGUGUCCACUGGAAGAAGUAGUAGAUGUAAUCUGUAUUAAUCUUGCCAUAGGAUUUUAAAUUCUGAAGAACAUGUGUGGCAGCCUGGCAAGGGGUUCUUCUCGGCUGCCUCGGAGGCUCGGACUCAACACUCGAGCCAUGGACUUUCAUGGACUUCCCCCUCCUACUCUUUGAGUUGCACUGUAUAUUGUUUACUACUGGUCUUUGAGUAGUAUCUUAGUGGCCAGAAGCCGUGAACUGAAAAAAUAAUGACAUCUGUGUAUAGAGAACAAAUUGACAAUGGUCUCUUUUUGUACUAUUUUUUUGCAAUACUUCUUUGGAGCAUUGGGUUCAAUUUCCGUGGCUUUCAAAUUAUGAAUCUUUAUGAGACACGAUAGUUUGUUGUUACAUUUUCAACCUUUUCUAUUUCAGAUAAAUAUAUUACGAUCUUCAAUGGGUAGCUCCAUGUUAUAUCUGGAGUGAGCUGAUAGGAGCAGCAAGCAACAAUAGGGAACCAACAGGAUCUCUUGUAUGAAGAUGUUGUUCAGCUACUGCAGAUUUCGGUAUAAGGUUAUUGAAAUAUUUAAUUUCAUGCAGGAAGGUCAAGCAUGAGUGACAUCGUUAAGAAUUGGCAACAGCCUAUUACAGUAAUGCUUCCUCUACCCGUCUUUCACUUCACCUAGAGAGAGGUUUCAUCCUCUCCUAUUUGUGAUCUAUGGGAUUUGCAUGUAGUUGGCUGUAUAUAUGUGAUAGGUGGCACCACCUGGCAAGCUCUGAUGGAGACACACUAGCGGUGGCCACGACAUCCCAGCGAUGGUUGCCUCAGGCAGAGAUCCAUGUGGGUUGGCCAUCGUCUUUAGGGUGUGAAGCUCCCCCUCAACAGGCGCACCAAGUUCUCCCCAGCUUGCGACGAGUGGUGCUCUCCUGCGAUGAGGCUUGUUUACCUAGAUCCUGGUCGUUCCUCUGCCAGGAAUAACAUCCCAACAUGUGCAUCCGUGGUAAACAAUCUCUGUACAGUCACUGCAUCGUCGAACCCUUCGCAAGUCUGCAGGCAGAGCCGGCCUGGAGGUCCUUCGACCAUAACCCAAGACCAGCGCAUUUUGACAAAAUCACGAUCACCCAACGACUACGACAUGUGGAUUAUUAGAUGACCACUAAUGCGGCCAUGGAGCUUUGUUAUUUUUAGAUGACCUCUCUUGCCAAUUUCAGUGCCAAUCGAGCCUCAAAACGGUACUACAAAAUUCAGAAAGAAGUUUAUUCUUUUUGGUGAAUGCAAAAUUCAGACAGUGAAUGCUUGUUGGUGACUACAAAAUUCUGAGUAAAAGAACUGUUUAAUUUCUUUUGGAGAAUGAUAUUUUUUAGCUUCAUGUGGGUUUGUAAUAUGAGAGGUUGAACACUGCAUUUUGGGUUACAAGUCUCAUAUG